GACAGAGGGAGGGAGGGAGUGGGUGACUAGUGACAGAGGGAGGGGGUGACAGUGACAGAGUGAGGGAGGUGGUGACUGUCACUAGUCACCACCUCCCUCUGUCACUACUCCUUCCCUCCUUCUGUCACUAGUCACCCCCUCCCUCACUCAGUUACC